UUCUCGGCGUUGACGUCAUCGCGUGCUCCCUCCGGUUGCUACGGCAACCAGUUUCCCGUACCCCCCCGCACCCGCCCCCCAUCCGUACGCUGGUAGGAUCCGUAAUGGUACAGGCAGCAUCCUGCAGCACAAUGUGGUCUUUAAAUCCGUCGCGUACCGGGAUGAUUUGAACAGGACUGGACUGUCACCGGACCGGGAUCGUCGGACGGGCAGCUGGCACGGAAUGGUAUUUAUGAACAGACGUUUCUUAUAUAACUGCAGUGCUCCAGUCCUGGAUGUGAAGAUUGCCUUUUGUCAGGUGUGUGUUCCAUACAGGUAAAUU